CCUCUCUGUCUCUCCCUUCCUCCUCCAUUGAAGCCUACUCUGAGCACUCCAUUGAAGCAGCUUUUGAGAUUUCCUUCCUCCAUUGAAGAAGCUCCUGAGAUAGAAGGAGAAAAUGAAGCCAGUGGUGGGGGCGGUGGUCUCAAACAAGAUGCAGAAAUCGGUAGUGGUGGCAGUUGACCGUCUUUUCCAUCAUAAGCUCUUCAAUCGGUAUGUUAAAAGAACUAGCAAAUUCAUGGCCCAUGAUGAGCAAAACGAGUGCAACAUUGGUGACCGGGUUCGACUGGAUCCCUCAAGGCCGCUCAGUAAGCGAAAAAAUUGGACUGUAGCUGAGAUUUUGAAGAAAGCACGGAUAUAUACACCACCACCAUCAGCAGGCAAAUUUCCUCAAUCAAACAGCAAUACUGAAGCUUCCUCAAUUCCUUCUGCAUAAAUCUUUUCAACCUUGUUUGUUUGGAUCAGUGGUCUUGAGAGCAUUUCUAGGCAAUAGGGCUGUACUUGGAAGUCACAAAGAAGCAGAUUGUGCUCUCUAUAUUUUUAUUCCUUAGAGAAGUGCCUUUAAUUCUUUCAGCAGCAGACUAGGUUUUUCAGUCUUUGAUCCAAUUUUAGUAGUUCAACCUUGCCUAUUAUCUUUUGUGCUUUUAAUGAAUUUGUUUUGAGCUCACAAGUGCGAUUUUCCGAAUCUCUCUAGAUAUGAACAGAGCAACAACUAUGUUGUAUCAGAAUAAAUAAUUAAGUUAUCCUUAGAUAAGGAUUUGAUUGUUUGUUUAGCUGGUAAGACAGAGCCAACUGCAUAAUCAAAGUCCUUAUGCA